rnacentral:tRNA from 5 species
GCCCCCAUAGCUCAGUAGGUAGAGCGACGGACUGUUAAUCCGUAGGUCGCAGGUUCGAGUCCUGCUGGGGGCGCCA